rnacentral:lncRNA from 1 species
GACCAGUGCGAUCAAAAAGGAGAAAGUGGAAUGCGACAUCACCCCCAAGAAGAGGAAGACCAUGGGCCAAGAGCUUCAGGGUGACCCAGUCAUAGGCCCGGGAGAGACAGAUCUGCACUAGAUGCUGUGCAGAGCCCUGACACCCAGAGCAAUGCUGCUGCUGCGAUGAGUCCGUCUCUGAGUGGAGAGGCACUGACUUCACUCAAAACCA